rnacentral:rRNA from 1 species
UAGUCCACGCCGUAAACGAUGUGUGCUAGUUGACGGGAGCUUAAGCUUUCGGUGACGCAGCUAACGCAUUAAGCACACCGCCUGGGGAGUACGGUCGCAAGAUUAAAACUCAAAGGAAUUGACGGGGACCCGCACAAGCGGUGGAGCAUGUUGUUUAAUUCGAAGCAACGCGCAGAACCUUACCAGCCCUUGACAUCCUCAUCGCGGAUUUGGGAGACCAUUUCCUUCAGUUCGGCUGGAUGAGUGACAGGUGCUGCAUGGCUGUCGUCAGCUCGUGUCGUGAGAUGUUAGGUUAAGUCCUGCAACGAGCGCAACCCUUAUCGUAUGUUGCCAUCAUUUAGUUGGGCACUCGUGCGAGACUGCCGGUGAUAAGCCGGAGGAAGGCGGGGACGACGUCAAGUCAUCAUGGCCCUUACGUGUGGGGCUACAAACGUGCUACAAUGGGUAUGACAGUGGGCAGCCACUCCGCGAGGAGGCGCUAAUCCCUAAACGUACU